CCUACGGCAGGCAGCAGUGGGGAAUAUUGCACAAUGGGGGAAACUCUGAUGCAGCGACGCCGCGUGAGUGAAGAAGUAAUUCGGUAUGUAAAGCUCUAUCAGCAGGGAAGAAAAUGACGGUACCUGCGUAAGAAGCAGCGGCUAACUACGUGCAAGCAGCCGCGGUAAUACGUAGGGGGCAAGCGUUAUCCGGAUUUACUGGGUGAAAGGGGAGGGUAGACGGCGGUGCAGGUAGGGAGUAAAAGGCGGGGGCUCAACCCACGGACUGCUUCGGAAACUGUUCGGCUGGAGUGCAGGAGAGGAAAGUGGAAUUCCUAGUGUAGCGGUGGAAUGCGUAGAUAUUAGGAGGAACACCAGUGGCGAAGGCGACUUACUGGACUGUAACUGACGUUGAGGCACGAAAGUGUGGGGAGCAAACAGGAUUAGAUACCCUUGUAGUC
rnacentral:rRNA from 1 species